ensembl:lncRNA novel transcript
AUGCCAGGGUCAGCUCUUGUGAGCUGGUACCUGUUGGCUCCCGUACACCGCUAGCCAGCAGUCAGAACAGACACAACGAGAACACACUUGGAGGAGAGGAGGAGUUGGAACUCAGAUGAGGAGGUUAGGGGUCUACAGUCCUACAGAGCUGUAAUACAGCCUACGGAAACGAGUUUGAAAAUGGAAAACUAUGCUGAAUAAACUGCUUAUGACCCAACAUCAUUCCAAAGCAGAGUUGAGACUAUGGUAUAGCCGUGCACAGUGUAAGGCAUGAAGGUUGGACGAGGAUCCAGGUGAGUUAGGUAAUGGAAGAGGGAUGUGACAAAGCGUGCAGAACCGAAAGCCUCAGGAUGAGAUGAAGAAGGAGUGAAGGAAGCCUGGGAAUUAUAUUAAAGAAAACUAGAGGAAAACCACCUUUCAGGUAGAGGGUCAAGAAGGCCCAGGACUAAGAAGAGCCUGAAAGGUCUCCAGGGAAUGUGACACUGGUGCAAAAGGGAAAUGGAGUAAUAAUAAGUGGCUGAUAAAUCAGAUUAAACUUUGCUGGUAUUUGCUAUCUGUAGAUAGCUUAUGUUCCUGAAGUUCCUUUCCUGAGUAGCAGAGUUUAAUGGUGUCUCUUAACUGUCAGUAUUCUGUGUGAGCAUUGAGAGUUGAAAGAUAGAAUUACAGUGACACAAGGUGGGGAAUUUAUUAUUCAAAGAAAAACCAGAUUGAAGUGGGAUGUUGUGGUUGUAGAUGCCCUGUCUAUGAAGGACAAAUCUCCCUUUUCAUUCUGGAGUGCAGUAGCCAAAAUCUGUGCCAUUACAUGAGUGAGCCCUUUACUACAACAACCUUAUGAGAUAAGGUCUCCUAUUCUUCCCAUUUUAAAUUACAGAGAAGGAAAGUUUACCCUGCUAAGAAAUGGCAGAAUUAGGAUUUGAACCUCAUAUACCCUUUAGAACCUGAACCUAUAUUAUUAGGGCAAACCAUAUAAAAUUUUCUGGGUUUUUUAGUAUUUUAUAUUGGAUGUCG